GUCAUGCAUAGAGCCUGCCAUCAUACACACUUGGAAGACUGUGCAGGAUGGCAUGAUGGAGCAGCUCAGUCAGCAGGAGAGUGUUAUCCUAGGUGGCGACUUAAAGGCUGACUCUCCAGGCCACUCUGCCAAGUUUGGCAGUUACUCAAUGAUGGACCUGAGGAGCAACACUAUUGUUGACAUAUAGCUGGUUCAGAGCAACAAAGUCGGUGGAAGUUAUCACAUGGAGAAAGAAGGUCUGAAGAGGAGCCAUGCUCUCUUGGAGGCACGUGGUGUUGCAUUGGACAGCAUUGUCACAGACCGUCACCCUCAGAUCCAGAAGUUCCUGAGGGAGGCCAAAGUGACACAGUACUACGAUGUCUGGCAUAUUGAAAAAGAUAUUUUUUACUGUGUUUGUAUGUUGGAGGGUGAAAAUGAGGAUAAAAUGCCCUUGCUCGCAGGUCCACACACUAUAUGUUCCUAGUAUCUUAAUUACUAAUGUGUUACAUGGGUUAUGGUAUUUUGUUUUCAACAUAUACUGUUUAUCUGAACGUGACUGAAAUAUUGUUUUAUUAGGACUGUCCAAGAAACUGGUCAAGAUAGCCCAGAACAAAGACUGCGAGAAGCUGAAGAAGUGGCUUCGCAGCAUCAAGAACCAUUUGUACUGGACAGCAGCCUCCUCUACAUCAGGGCCAGAGAGAGUGGCUAAGUGGACAUCCAUUCUUAACCAUGUCCAAGACAUCCACACACAUGAAGAUCCUCUUUUCCCUCAGUGCUUGCAUCCGCAGCGCACCUCAAAAGACAAGAGCAAAUGGUUGACAGCAGGUGAUAUUUUUUUUUUUUUUUUUUUUGUUUUUCAGGAACACCAGCUUUCUGCAGGCUCGAAAAGGCAUUGACUAAUAAGAGAAUUCUGAAAGAUGUGGAAAAGCACAGCCCUCACUAUCAGACCUCAUCGCUGGAGGCAUUUCACAGCGUCAUUCUGCGGUCUGCACCCAAAAAUGUUGUCUUCCCGUACCUUGGAAUGUUAUGCAGACUCUACCUGGCUGCCCUCCAUUACAAUGAAAAUACUGACUGACCACAGGCAACAUCUACAAGUGGAGAGCUUCUGUUCAGAGUCAGCUUCCCCAAAUCUAAGCAUGGAGAAUGCACUGCAAAGCCUGUGAAAGCAGAGCCAACAUUCUACUACGUUGAUGCACUGUUGGACCUGAUCUUUGAGAAGGUUUUCCAGGACCCUGCCCCAUAUGUGAACGAGGUGGUGAAGCUUGCAAUCCCUGAAGACCUCUCCGCUCAGUAUGAAAGACCUGGCAAGCUGGACAUUAUAGCCAGUUACGUGUCAAGGUUCAACCAAGGACAGGUCUGAACCCAGCAUACUGUCCUUCAGCGUCAGGGAACUCUCCACGAAUCCUCAGCACCACACAGGCAGGCAGCACAACUCUAUCAAUCAUGUCGCGUUGUUUCUUUUGUAAUAUUUAUAUAAAGUGUAUAAACUGUUGGAACCGGUUCAAAAACAAUACUGCUGGUAGAGAGGUAAGGGGAGGCAACUGUGGCCUAUUGAAAAGUACAGUUGGAAAUUGCUAGCUAAUUACAGGUCGUCACUGCAAAUAAAAGCAGGUUCUCAAUUGACUUACCUGGCCACAUAAAGGUAAAUAAUAUUACGAGGUUAAGGUUUUCUCUUGUAACGGCAAUUGCUAGCUAAUUCGUUACUGCAACUGAAGAGCAGUAAACGCCAGUCGAGGUUUGGCUAAGCUUUGUUAUGUAAACACUCGAGGCAGGAGAGUGGGGUUGUGAUCUGUAACCGCGCGGGGCAGACGGCUACUAAGCCCGUAAAACUUUCGUUUGUCUGUGCAGUAACAAGUAAGAAGUAAUGUCGAGGUAAAAAAAAAAAA